rnacentral:rRNA from 1 species
AACGAACGCUGGCGGCAGGCCUAACACAUGCAAGUCGAGCGCCCCGCAAGGGGAGCGGCGGACGGGUGAGUAACGCGUGGGAACGUGCCCCUUUCUACGGAAUAGCCUCGGGAAACUGAGAGUAAUACCGUAUAAGCCCUAUGGGGGAAAGAUUUAUCGGGAAGGGAUCGGCCCGCGUUGGAUUAGGUAGUUGGUGGGGUAAUGGCCCACCAAGCCGACGAUCCAUAGCUGGUUUGAGAGGAUGAUCAGCCACACUGGGACUGAGACACGGCCCAGACUCCUACGGGAGGCAGCAGUGGGGAAUCUUAGACAAUGGGCGCAAGCCUGAUCUAGCCAUGCCGCGUGAGCGAUGAAGGCCUUAGGGUUGUAAAGCUCUUUCGUGGGGGAAGAUAAUGACUGUACCCCAAGAAGAAGCCCCGGCUAACUCCGUGCCAGCCGCCGCAGUAA